rnacentral:lncRNA from 1 species
UCCACACUUGUUAUCAUACUUUGGCCUUCUUAGCACGGUUCAGGAGGUUUAUUUCAAGUAUCAACCUCUGACGUUCCUCACAGUGAGUGUCUAUCAUGGCUGUAAACGUGUUCCUGCCCAAGGAAGUGGAUCUCUGUAACCCCUCUCAUACUUCCUAUUGCCCAGGACACUGGACCUGCAAUGCCUCCUAUGAGACUACAUACAGUGGGCGUGUUAUGGACGGCUGAAGCACAGCACGGUACUGUUGUAACAAAAAACAGCCUCUUCUGUAAGGGACAAAUUGCCGAGAGUGCAGCUUUUGGUUUGAGUAAAACGGAAAAGGAGAAAAUUGACCCACAUGUGCCAAUAAAAAAGAACAUCAUUUCAAUAAAAGACCCGUAUUAACCAUUUAAA